AGUGAACGCUGGCGGCAGGCCCAACACAUGCAAGUCGAGCGGCAGCGCGGGGGCAACCCUGGCGGCGAGCGGCGGACGGGUGAGGAAUUCGUCGGAAUCUGCCUUUUUGUGGGGGAUAACGUAGGGAAACUUACGCUAAUACCGCAUACGACCUACGGGUGAAAGUGGGGGACCGCAAGGCCUCACGCAGAAAGAUGAGCCGACGACCGAUUAGCUAGUUGGUGGGGUAAAGGCCUACCAAGGCGACGAUGGGUAGCUGGUCUGAGAGGAUGAUCAGCGACACUGGGACUGAGAAACGGCCCAGACUCCUACGGGAGGCAGCAGUGGGGAAUAUUGGACAAUGGGCGCAAGCCUGAUCCAGCCAUGCCGCGUGUGUGAAGAAGGCCUUCGGGUUGUAAAGCACUUUUGUCCGGAAAGAAAUCUUCCAACUUAAUACGUUGGGAGGAUGACGGUACCGGAAGAAUAAGCACCGGCUAACUUCGUGCCAGCAGCCGCGGUAAUAC
rnacentral:rRNA from 1 species